GAUCACGCCAUCGUCGUAGCCAACAGCUGGGGGCGGACAUGACCGUGGAACGGGACGGUUCCGGUUCUCGCAAUAUCUUGAAGGCUUCGCUGGAACGAUACAACAUGGGAGAACUCAGAUACGAAAUGGUCUAUUACGAUGGAAAUGGCUGCUUCAUUUUGAAAGUCAAAGAAGCCCACAUGGCUACCAUGAGGAAAUUGGUCGGCGAAUGCGAAAUAUGGGCCACCAAGGAAGCAGCGCCAGGUGUUAACCCAUCGUCGCCCUGUGAGGUGCGGUACCAGGAGCUCGGGUGCAGAACGGAGGCGAAGCCCUACGUUUCUUCCUGUAAGGAUCCGACGGUACUUUUACAUUAGGCUGUACCUUUCGGCCGCUCGUCUUCAUUUAGUUCUAGCGCAGAAUCUACCCUAUUUGCUCCAUGUCACAAUAAACAAUUUUGCCACGGAAUAUCUUUUGUCUGCUAUAUAAGAAUGCAUACACGUGCCAUUUGCAUGAGGGUGACGGUGACUGUGAUGUGAUAAAGAAAGGAAUGUGGAUGUGAGUUUCG